AGGCUAAUGACCUCCAAAGCUGAGAACCAGGAUAAAUUACCCCUCAUUGAGCUGCUCUUUGUGUUAGCACUUCUAAAGCUAGUUUGCAGUGUAGACAAGCAUCUUAGGGCACCCACUGGAGGAUGAAUAGGCCAGUAGCACCUAAUGACUUCUGAACUUUCCACCCUGCACAAAUGUAAAGGCCUGCGCAGGAUGAGGGGCAAUAUGGAAUCAAGCGUAUGACCUCUACAAGGGGAUCAAACCAAAGUUCCAGAAUCAUAGAUGGCAGGAUGGUGUGGAAAGGUGUGCAAAGAGAAAGCAACAUCUUCCAGUUGGCUGUGGCUCAGAAUUUGGUGCGACUACCUUGCUAUCACUUGGGUCAACUCACAUUGCAAUCCCUUUUUGAUUUAAUUGAAACUAGCAAAAAAGAAUGGGCUUUAGUGCAUGCACUUUAUUUAAUGCUGCCACAUUGUGUAAAACUUAAUAGCAAAUGAAAUGACUUCCAAAUCACUUUUCACUAUCGAAUUUGUGUUCUGUGAACUGAGAUGAACUAACUACACAUUAACUUUGUUUGCAUCAGUGUUUUUAUAUGUCAAACGUUUCUUUCUAAACUGCUAUGCUGAGAUCAUGGAUCAUAAAGUAUUCCUAAUAGAUACAUGUAUGUUUAACUGGCUUAAUUAAGGACAGAGACAACUUUAAGAUAGCUUUGUACAGUAUUCUGUUCAUGAUAAAUGCAAUGCAUAUAAAAAUAC